rnacentral:rRNA from 1 species
AAUCAACGCUGGCGGCGUGCCUCAGACAUGCAAGUCGAACGAUUAAACUUCCCUUCGGGGAAGAUAUAAAGUGGCGCACGGGUGAGUAACACGUAGGUAAUGUACCUUUGGGUGGGGAAUAACUUAGGGAAACUUAAGCUAAUACCGCAUAAUGCAGCGGCUCCUUCGGGAGACAGUUGUUAAAGAUUUAUCGCCUAAAGAGCAGCCUGCGGCAGAUUAGCUAGUUGGUAAGGUAACGGCUUACCAAGGCUACGAUCUGUAUCCGACCUGAGAGGGUGGUCGGACACACUGACACUGAAUAACGGGUCAGACUCCUACGGGAGGCAGCAGUCGGGAAUGUUGGGCAAUGGGCGAAAGCCUGACCCAGCAACGCCGCGUGAAGGAUGAAGUCUUUCGGGAUGUAAACUUCGUAAGAAUAGGAAGAAUAAAUGACGGUACUAUUUGUAAGGUCCGGCUAACUACGUG